rnacentral:tRNA from 1 species
UUAGAUAAUCUUUAAGAUAUAAAAUUUUUACUUUUAUUAUGGGUUUCCCUCUAAUUA